rnacentral:rRNA from 1 species
ACGAAGGGUGCAAGCGUUACUCGGAAUUACUGGGCGUAAAGCGUGCGUAGGUGGUCGUUUAAGUCCGUUGUGAAAGCCCUGGGCUCAACCUGGGAACUGCAGUGGAUACUGGACGACUAGAGUGUGGUAGAGGGUAGCGGAAUUCCUGGUGUAGCAGUGAAAUGCGUAGAGAUCAGGAGGAACAUCCAUGGCGAAGGCAGCUACCUGGACCAACACUGACACUGAGGCACGAAAGCGUGGGGAGCAAACAGG